rnacentral:rRNA from 1 species
UGGGGAAUAUUGGACAAUGGGCGCAAGCCUGAUCCAGCCAUACCGCGUGGGCGAAGAAGGCCUUCGGGUUGUAAAGCCCUUUUGUUGGGAAAGAAAAGCAUUCGGUUAAUACCCGAUUGUUCUGACGGUACCCAAAGAAUAAGCACCGGCUAACUUCGUGCCAGCAGCCGCGGUAAUACGAAGGGUGCAAGCGUUACUCGGAAUUACUGGGCGUAAAGCGUGCGUAGGUGGUUGUUUAAGUCUGUCGUGAAAGCCCUGGGCUCAACCUGGGAAUUGCGAUGGAAACUGGGCGACUAGAGUGUGGCAGAGGGUAGUGGAAUUCCUGGUGUAGCAGUGAAAUGCGUAGAGAUCAGGAGGAACAUCCGUGGCGAAGGCGACUGCCUGGGCCAACACUGACACUGAGGCACGAAAGCGUGGGGAGCAAACAGGAUUAGAUACCCUGGUAGUCCACGCCCUAAACGAUGCGAACUGGAUGUUGGGUGCAAUUUUGGCACGCAGUAUCGAAGCUAACGCGUUAAGUUCGCCGCCUGGGGAGUACGGCCGCAAGGUUAAAACUCAAAUGAAUUGAC